GUCACAGCCCUGCCGGGCCGGGCUGCCCGCGGCCCCCCCCGCCCGCCUUCCUCCGGCCCCCACAGUGGCUGGGGGCGUCUGAGCCGGCUCUUUGGCCCUCCGGGGAGCUGCGAGAAAAAGGCAUUGGACUUCAACCGUGUCGGGUUACUGCACACGUGGCAGUAAAGCUUCCAAGGACAACGCAUUCCACCCACCUACACCUUGUUUGAGUGCAUACACACUUAUGCUUGUGUUCAACUAAGGCAGCAUUUCUCUUUGUGACUUGUCUACAAAAAGAUGAAGCUGAACCAGCUACUGGAAUGUAUAUGCACUGGGCCUGCCAAAAGAAAUAUAUUCCCACAGUUGAGUGGGGAAAAAAAAACUCAGCACGACAUUGCUCUGACUGAAUCCUAAAUGUUACUGUUUUCAAUACUCAAACAAACAAGUAGAAACUUAGACUGUGCAGGGAACAGUUUGCAAAACAAGCCAGCCUAUGCAUCUGAGAAUAAAACUGCAGUUACAACAAAAAUAGGAGGCCACAAAGAAACCAUCUCUCAUUGCUGAUAUCACCACAAAUCGAACUUCAUUCUUACAAGAUCCAUCGAGAUACUGCUGACCAGGACAACCCAGUCUAAUUUGGAUCUGCACAUGUUCUUGCCUGGCUACUUAAUGGAGGCUGCACUGGUGUGAUUAACAGAACUCAGGUGGGGAACAAGUGGCUUUGGGCUGCUUACAUCGAAGAGCAGCCAUCGGUACCCUGAGACAGGAGUCACUGGUGUAUCUCUGGAAUGCAGUCACUCUCCUCUUCCUUCUUGGUCUCUGAAUAUGCUUGCAUUUUAAGCCAGUCUGGGCAGAACUUUACAGCUUUUUUUUUGGCAGCAUGUGAAAGAGCUUGUUGUCAAGCCUUUAGCUUCAGAUUGGUCAGCACAAUUUUCUGAAAAUUUUUACAGUGUUCAGUCUUUAUUCUGUGCUAAGUAUGAGCUGACUGCAGAGGACUAUGUUGAACUUACAGCAACUGCACUUCAGCUGUCAUGUUCCAGAUGGAACUUCAAAUGUUUACAGAUGAGACAAGUCUUCCACAGUUCAGUGCAUGAAUACCAUAAAUUUGGCCCUCUCCCACCACAGUGAAGGAAAUCAAUUGGUAGCUCUGGAGCAAGUUGAGUGCCCAUGAUAUGCUGCAGCUAUUCAUUAAGCAAGACUUUUAAAGUCAUGUGCAAAAUAUUGAAGAACAUUAGCAAAGACCUCUAAGAACAAAAGGGUAUAACUACUGAUGGUAAUUUACAGCUUUGACAUAUGUAAAACACGCUCAAGUAGCGUAUUUUCUGCUAGAUUGUGUGAAGAAACAAUGUACUCCAUCAAGUACUAGCAUUGGGUAUAUUAAGUCUGGAAUGAAGAACUCAUAAUAAUUUUACAUAUAUGCAAUUCAAAUAGAACAUAAAGCAAAUAAAGUUACAAACAUUGAAUUAACAUACUGUGCUGGUUUGGCUGGGAUGGAGUUAAUAUUCUUCAUAGUAGCUAUUACAGGGCUGUUUUCAAUUUGUGCUCAAAAUAGUGCUAAGAUAGUGCUGUUUUCAUUAUUGCUGAGCCGUGCUAACACACCAUCAAGGCCUUUUCUCCUUCUGACCCCACCCCACCAGUGAGGGGACUGUGGAUGCAUAAGGACUGGGGAGAGGACCCGUCCAAGACAGCUGAUCCCAAGGUGGGGUGAGCACAUAAAGCUGGAGGGAGAAGGGGGGAUAUUUGGAGUAGUCACAUUUGUCUUCCAUAGUAACUUAAUGGGAUGGAGCCCUGCUUUCCUGAAGGUAUCUGAGUAUCUGCCUGCCAAUGGGAAGUGGUGAAUGAAUUCCUUGUUUUGCUAUAGUUGUCUGCAUGGC